rnacentral:misc_RNA from 1 species
AACGUUUCAGGCCCAUCAUCCCAUCCUGCAAAUGGUGCUGAAUCUUCCAAGAAGGUAAGUGAAUCAGAGACUCUAAAUGAUCUGAAGAUGCCAGCUCGGCAAAACACUGGUACCCAUUUGCAGUGUCAAUCUGGUGGACAAGAGGGUGGAUCAGUCCUACCGGGGAGUAACAUACCAUCUACUCUAAUUUCUUCUCCUGAUCAGCAGAGUGCUAGGUUUGCAAGCUCUCAUGGCAAUAAUAAACGCUCAGCUGGAAGAAAAGCUCAAAUCACAAAUGGCAACCAUUUGCUCAAUUUUCAAUAUGAUCCCAUUUCUCGUCCUCGUCCUCGAGCCAGAGCUCCUCCUCCAAGAAGGCCACAGAAGAUAAA